GAGUGCUUACCGCCUCUUCCUAUCUGAUUCAGCCAUGUUCUGUCUUUGAGAUUUUUAGAUGCUGUGGAGCCAAAGAGAGGUCAUUAGGGCUGGGGUGUGGGGGCACAGAACUUGGCCCCACAUUCUCAUCAGACCUCAGCCUCCCAGGGGAGAAGCCACAGGGACAGGUCCUGCCGGUUCCAAUCUCUCAACUCAGCCAAGCUGACAAAGAGAAGUGUGGACGUGCCUUAGCCAAUGGGGAAAGGCCCUGCAGUCCCACCCCUUCUACCCAUGCUGGCCUUGGGACCCCUGGACCAGGUCCUUCCUGGGUCCUUCUGACUUUCUCCACUGUCCAAAGUGGAGAUGCCCACAGCCUCCCCUCAGUGGCUCCACUCUCACAUAUGUGGGUAUUAUUGCUUUUAGUCUAACCUCUUGCUGCUGACUUAAAUUCCGAUUUUCCAGGGCCUUUUCCUUUUACAUACACACACACACACACACACACACACACACACACACACACACACAAACACACACACAAUAUGAGGUCCUAAGAAUUCAUUUAGUCCAUUCUUCUAACUCAGAACCAAGUCUACCCGCUUACCUUUCCUGAAAAUUCCCCUGUGUAUUCCCAUUUUCCACCCGAAUGACCACACAAAUGUAACCCUUGAGUUUCCCCAUCCUGGAAGUCCCCCUUGUUCUCUAGCCAAAUUCCCUCUAGCAGUUGCACAAGUUGACAUCCCUAGCCCUGACUGCAGACACCCUCCAGCCCCAGCCCCAGCUUCUCAAGAGGGAACUCCAAGGGGAGAAACCACUCCAGCAAAGCCAGCAAUCAAGCCCUUAUCUCUGAUAUUCUCCCUUCUGCUUUGGUCCAGUGUCUGCUUUCCAUGGUCUCCUUAUCCUCCAGCCAGCACUCCAUUGACAGCCCAGCCAACCUCUGCUGCGCUGCUGGUCCUCCCAACAGUCAAUUUACAAGUCUCUCUGCAGGGAGAAGGCUUCCUGGUCAGAAGCUGUCCAUAAGGAGCAAACUCUUCCACUGCUGCCCCCCAAGGCUGAGGUUCAGACUCCACCUGCAGACUCCACCCUGCAGACUCAAGUGGGUCAGUGUAAUGAGUCCUUCCUUCAGAGAGAGAGGAGAUGUACCCCUGGACAUUGGAGACAACUGCCUUUAUUCCUUUCCUGUGUGUACUGUCAAGAUCAGGAUGAGUGCUGUCUGUUUGCUCUGGCUAAGCCUACAGCCCAGGAUGGAAACUCUGAACUCAUGAAGUGUGAGCCUGAAAGACAGCAAGUUGGAGCCAUGGAAACCCUACCAAGUGUGAGGUGCCUUGAUGUGCCAUGGAGAAAAAGUCACAGUCCCAGAGCUGGAUGGCUUACAUGCCACAUACAGAAGCUGCACACGUUACCUCACUCUGAAAUGAAGGCAUGGCCAAGGUGGUCAAGGGAAGGAACCCUGAAAGGGAUCAGCCUCCUCAAGUCAGGUCACAGCAAGCCAUCACCCCGACUCCUCCUCCCCCUCUUCAGGAAAUUCAGAAUCCAUGGAAGGAAUCUGAAGCGGAAGAGGAUGUGGAACUCAAUGACCUUAAAAAAAAAAAAACAGCCUUCAGCACCUCUCCACAACCACCAUCCCCUCCUCUCCAAUUCUGCAGGAAAAAAUCAUAAGGUGACAUUUAUUGACUAUUUACCAUCUGCUGGUCACUAUGCUAAGUCCUUUUCAUGAAUUAUUUUCUACUACCUCUUCCUCUCAAUAUCUCCCAAUUCACAAAUGAGGAAACUGAGGUUCAGGGAAAGAAAAAUGACCACCCCAAAGUCACACAGCUAGAAAGAGGCCAAGCUGGGCCUGGAAUCCAGGCUUGACUUCUUUAACCACUGCACCAAAAGACCUCCCCCCAGCCCCUGGCUGACUGGUCAGGAUCAGCUACAGAAUUUGAGAGGAAGGGAUGACAGAAGGCAUUGGGCAUGCUGGGGAGGACAGCAGGGGGGGGGGCACCAGAGGUAGGACUGGUGUAGCUGGAAUGAAACUCUGAAGUCACAUUCCCCUCCCAAGUCUGGCCCUUCCUCCCCAGAGGGCCUGGGAAGGGGACACUCCCUCUGGCUCAGGUCUCUCCAACAUUCCAGACACACCUCUUGGGAGCUGGGGACAAGGAGGGGUUGGAGACCUGAGAUGGACCAGCCUUCUACCCCCACCUCCCCAGAGUCCUGGCUGUGUGACCCUGCAUUUGCCACCCACCCUCUCUGGGCCAUGGUCUCCUCAACUAUGAAGUGGCUGGGGAGCACCAGCUCAAUCUCUAAAGACCACAUUUCUCCUGCCAGACCCAGGGAUCCUCUGGCUGCCCUGGGGUUAACUCUGCAGGAGGGCUAGGCUUGGGGCCCGCCUUCCCUUUUAUUCCCAGUGAAACCUGAGGAGGAUCUGGUGAGGCAGGGAAGUAGAAGGUGAGAAGUAGAAGGUGAGAAGGGGCACAGAAUUUCUUGACAGAGCUUCCAGGGCUCAGGUGUGCCAAGUCCAUUGCCUCUCUGGGCAGUCAGGACACCAGCAUCGGUCCAACCCCAGGCUUACGGACAAUGGAGGUGUCUCAGACUGAAGAAGUGAGAAGAGCGGAGGGAGACAGGGAUGAAUGCAGUCCUGGGUUCAGACAACUAACUGCAGAAGAUGGUGGAAGGGUGGGGAAGAGCAGGGGUGACUUUCUAGAGAAGACACUUAGAGAAGACCAGGAGGAUUUCAGUGAAUGAGCACUUUGGAGCAAGGGUCCAAAGGUAGGAAGGCGCAGAAGUACACAAAGUAGUCUGGGGUGAUGCAGCACUGUGAGGGGAGCACUAUGAGGGCAUAGGAAGGGACCAUGGGCCAGGUCCUGGGAAGCUGAGUGCAGGAGGGAGGGUUUGGGAUUGUGUCUGAAUUAUCGGGCAGAGCCUUGGAACGAAGCCCUCUUUUAACGGUGGUGCCAGAAAGAUCCCUGUGGUCCUGUAUAGUCUGGCUGAGGCCAGCCUGGAGGCAGGGAGGCUGCUAAGGGGGCUGUGGCCAAGGUCUGGUGGAGGUAACAGAGCCUAAAUAGCUGAGAGCUAUAGAGGACUAUACAGGUGACUAGUCUGGUUGGCCUCCUCCAGCAACAGGGAGCUCACUACUUCUUGAAUAGCAAUCCUCCCCUUUGGGCAGCUCUGCCUGGGAGAAAGUUCUUUCCUAGGCCAGGUUCAAGCCUGCCUUCCUGGGAUGAUGUGUGGGUGCAGGGAUCAGGAAGAAGAUGCCACUCAUUGUGUAGGAAGAUGGAAGCUUGGGAGAAAGUGUGGGGCCACUGAGUUCAAGCUGAGAAGCUUGGUGAAGAGGCUCACUCACCUGUCUGUGGGACUUACUCUUGCCCCUCAAGCAGGGCCCGAGUACUGCCCCUAGGGUGCCCUGGCCCAGCUGGGCACCCUGGGUAUUUGUGGUUGGACACAAUGAAGCUCCUUAGCUGGCCCCAGGACAACAGCAGAGAAAACAGAGAGAAAUUUCCACAAUUGGCAGUUUUAGGCACACAUUUUAUUGUUUUAUAUAUAUAUAUAUAUAUAAAAGGCAAAAGAGUACAUGUGUUGAGUGGAGAAUUAAAGGGGUGAAGACCCUAUUUUAAGUAGAGUCUCCCAACCCCCAUCCUUAAAACUGUAACAUCUACUAUGUAUAUUUUUUAAAAAACCAAAAAACAUGAAACUUAUACCUGGACUUCACCCCACCACCACACAUGCCUACAUUAUGACAGAAAUACAUCCUCUGCUCCUACUUAUGUACAGCCAGAGCUCCACACCUGGGCUGGGGUCUCCUCCUCCCGGUCCUACCUCCAUAUUCCCACCCUACCUCCCCCAAAGCCUGUAGAAACCCCCUGCUAGAAAAAGGGUGCACGCGCGUGCACACACACACACACACACACACACUCAGAAACACAUAUCUGGACCCUCCUCCACAUGGAGCCCCCAAAACAUGCAGACCCCUGGCACUUUCCUCACUCACAGAGGGGACAUACCACAGAUGGACCUUUCCCUAGGCUCCCCCCACAGCUAGAAUCCUUUCCACUUGGUCCCUUGCCCUGAUAUCUAGGAAACCACACA